rnacentral:lncRNA from 1 species
AAACAACCCUGCAUCCAAGUAAUAUAUAUUUCAGUUUUUCUUCUCAUCUCGAAGAGAUAUCGAUUAACCACAAACUUUCUUCUCUUCAACGAACAAUGGAUACACAUACACCGGUGCUCUCCUCGUUCUCCUCUUCAGAUCCUUCGUUCAAGUUGAAAAAAUCCUCGUAUCCUUUUUUCGGUCAAGCCUCUAACACCUCUUCCAAAGUGGAUGAUUCAGGUAUUUUUAGGAUAAUACUUAAAUUCCAUUUUUGAUUAAGAUGUGUAUAGACUGUUGUGAUGGAAUUUUUAUUUUAUUUUUUUCGUUUUUCAAAAGAAAAAUAAGUUGUUGAUGUCCCCUGACUUUUCAUGCGAGUUGCAUUUUGAUCUCCAACCUACCAUAAGGUGCAUUUCUAUUCCCAACAUUGUUGCUGGAUUGUUAGAGAAACUGCCCUGGCUGGUAAGUUGGGACUAAAAUGUAACUCUUGUAAAAAAUUGAGGACUAUUAUGCUAUUUUCUCUUAGUCCUUUUGAUUAAUGCUAUUGAUUAUUCCUUUUGAUCAAUGCUAUUGAUCACCUCGUGCUAACGACUAUGAAUUGCAUUAUUUUUUGGAAAUUAUUCUCUACUAUGUUCUAUCGGAUAUUUUACAGAUAUAAUCGACGACUUUUAUCUCUUUGUAUGUGUAUGUCGUAGAAUUGAGAAAAUUUUUGGAACUGAAAGAGUUUCAGCAUCCUUGGAUCCAAUCACUGGUGUCGAAUGAAAAGAUGUUAAGAUUCCGCCCGAAUUAAAUCUAUCUGUUCUGGUUUUCGCACCUACUAUAUACGACAUUCAUUUGGAUUGAUAAAUAAAUAAAUAUUAUU